UUUUAAUUAAAUAUAAUUAUAUAUUUUUAAUUAUAAUAUUUCAAAGAAAACUUCUAGAAACACCAAAAACGAACAUUAUUUGUCAUUGCAGUUUUGCCUACAAAAUCAUCCCAAGGUCGAUCCAUCGUGCUUGCGUUCUUCGCUUGAAAAAUCAACUGCACCGAAAAUGCUAUAUCCAUUGUAGUACUGUAACAAAUAUAGCAUGUCUGGUUCGAUUGAUUUAUCCAUGACAUCCGAAAAUAUCGG
rnacentral:lncRNA from 1 species